CGAUAAUGUACUUUUAUAUUCAUAUAUGAAGUUGGCAAUGUCGUAUCAGCUACUGUACGAAUAUCGUUAUGACCAUUUAAUUGUUUUUCAAGAUACAUCGGUAACAUCGUAAUAUCCGUUGAAACAUUCCUUGGAAGAUAAUAUAUAAUUAAUCCCUCGUCGUUCUUCAAACAAGCAGUUUCAACGAUGGAUCGCAUCACGAAUUAAUUAAGACCACUUGUCAACACCGAUUGUUAAUGCAAAUAUCCCUCUGCAAAGAAUCAUCGCGACAUAAAUGAAUUCCUGCGGAUCAUCGUUGGACAGCUGUGCCAUGCUGGUCGAGAGAGGAGAAGAAAUGCGAAAGAUGGAACAACAUAAAUUCGAAUGGACGGUCGUGAAGCCUGACGGUUCUUUCGAUGACCCGUGGUCCACUCUCUGAUCCUUUGCAGUUAACACUCCCUCCCGUUGGCUUUGGAAAGAAAGGAAAGAAAAAAACAAAAAAACGAUAACCCCAGAUACCGUAGUGGCCACAUACGUGCUCGUUAUCGUUCUCGUAAUAGUCGGACGAUCGUGUUGCUAACCGAGGUACUCGGGUUAUCUGGCUUGUUUGUCCUUCGCCACAAUUUCGUUACGUUUCUUCGUGCUUUUCCUCGCUUGUUCUUUCGUCAGGAUAUCACGUUAAUUCGCGACCGCGAUGCCGAUAAUUAUUAGUCAUUUCCGUUCUUACCGGUUGAGCAACGAAUAAAGGUUUAGAUUUUAUCAUGGCGCCAACGUUCUUUUGCGACCUCGAGGAAUUCGUUAACGAUUUUGUAGCGAAGAUUAUAACGUAUGAUCGAUAGAUCUUUCAACUAGAGAUUAUGCGCAAAGGAAACUAUUUCGGUGAAUUUCGUGUAACAGUGGACAAGGAGGGGGUGUCGUAUAUAUUUUUAAUGCACCCUACGUGGCUGCGCCAUUGCCACGAGAAAUAACUGGGAAAGCGUUGAACCCGACACGUGGAAAUUCUAUUUCUUUUAGUAUUCCUUAAUCGCGUCUCGGCUGCUUUUCGGCCAUCAUUUCGGCCGAGAAACGAAAUCCUCGACCGGUGAUUACCGCUAGAGUGUGUCACUUGUUAACAAGUACCGAUAAGAAUGCAAAAUACUUAAGUAGAAUGUAAUCAGAGCAGCAAUUUACUCGAACAAGUAACAACUCACGUGACAAUAUCCAAGUAGCAACAUUUCGCAUGGAAUUUAUCGAUGAACCGUUUAAAUCAACUCCACUGAUGAUCAAUGCAAUAGGAUAGCGCGCUGCUGGGUUAUAUUAAUUACUGUUAAUGAGCGAAACGUUGGAUUCAGGAUUAUACUUGUAAAGGAGACAUUUAUUGGUCAUAAAAGGCAUAUUGGCUGUAUCUUGAAACUCGAAGAGGACAGAGUCAGAUGGUUUGAUGGCAGCACGUUUAGGAACCACCGUACAAUGGGGGCGUACGUCGUUGACAAACAUGGGAGCGGCGUAUUGGGUCGAUGGUUAAAAAAAAAAAAAA